ACAUGCAAGCCGAGCGGGCGAGGUUGCUUCGGUAACUGAGCUAGCGGCGGACGGGUGAGUAAUGCUUAGGAAUCUGCCUAUUAGUGGGGGACAACAUUCCGAAAGGAAUGCUAAUACCGCAUACGCCCUACGGGGGAAAGCAGGGGAUCUUCGGACCUUGCGCUAAUAGAUGAGCCUAAGUCAGAUUAGCUAGUUGGUGGGGUAAAGGCCUACCAAGGCGACGAUCUGUAGCGGGUCUGAGAGGAUGAUCCGCCACACUGGGACUGAGACACGGCCCAGACUCCUACGGGAGGCAGCAGUGGGGAAUAUUGGACAAUGGGCGCAAGCCUGAUCCAGCCAUGCCGCGUGUGUGAAGAAGGCCUUUUGGUUGUAAAGCACUUUAAGCGAGGAGGAGGCUACUUGGAUUAAUACUCUAGGAUAGUGGACGUUACUCGCAGAAUAAGCACCGGCUAACUCUGUGCCAGCAGCCGCGGUAAUACAGAGGGUGCGAGCGUUAAUCGGAUUUACUGGGCGUAAAGCGUGCGUAGGCGGCUUCUUAAGUCGGAUGUGAAAUCCCUGAGCUUAACUUAGGAAUUGCAUUCGAUACUGGGAAGCUAGAGUAUGGGAGAGGAUGGUAGAAUUCCAGGUGUAGCGGUGAAAUGCGUAAAGAUCUGGAGGAAUACCGAUGGCGAAGGCAGCCAUCUGGCCUA
rnacentral:rRNA from 1 species